GAUGAACGCUGGCGGCGUGCCUAAUACAUGCAAGUCGAGCGAACAGACGAGGAGCUUGCUCCUAUGACGUUAGCGGCGGACGGGUGAGUAACACGUGGAUAACCUACCUAUAAGACUGGGAUAACUUCGGGAAACCGGAGCUAAUACCGGAUAAUAUAUUGAACCGCAUGGUUCAAUAGUGAAAGACGGUUUUGCUGUCACUUAUAGAUGGAUCCGCGCCGCAUUAGCUAGUUGGUAAGGUAACGGCUUACCAAGGCGACGAUGCGUAGCCGACCUGAGAGGGUGAUCGGCCACACUGGAACUGAGACACGGUCCAGACUCCUACGGGAGGCAGCAGUAGGUAAUCUUCCGCAAUGGGCGAAAGCCUGACGGAGCAACGCCGCGUGAGUGAUGAAGGUCUUCGGAUCGUAAAACUCUGUUAUUAGGGAAGAACAAAUGUGUAAGUAACUAUGCACGUCUUGACGGUACCUAAUCAGAAAGCCACGGCUAACUACGUG
rnacentral:rRNA from 1 species